rnacentral:rRNA from 1 species
GACGAACGCUGGCGGCGUGCUUAACACAUGCAAGUCGAACGGAAAGGCCCCUUUGGGGGUACUCGAGUGGCGAACGGGUGAGUAACACGUGAGUAACCUGCCCUUGACUUCGGGAUAACUUCAGGAAACUGGGGCUAAUACCGGAUAGGAAUCCUUGCUGCAUGGUGGGGGUUGGAAAGCUUCGGCGGUUUUGGAUGGACUCGCGGCCUAUCAGCUUGUUGGUGGGGUAGUGGCUUACCAAGGCUUUGACGGGUAGCCGGCCUGAGAGGGCGACCGGCCACAUUGGUACUGAGAUACGGCCCAGACUCCUACGGGAGGCAGCAGUGGGGAAUAUUGCACAAUGGGCGGAAGCCUGAUGCAGCAACGCCGCGUGCGGGAUGACGGCCUUCGGGUUGUAAACCGCUUUCAGCAGGGGCGAAGCUUGUGGUGACGGUACCUGCAGAAGAAGCACCGGCUAACUACGU